rnacentral:rRNA from 1 species
AUGCCAGAAGAAUGGAGACGGAGUAUAUUAGUACCAAUCUUCAAGAACAAGGGGGAUGUUCAGAGUUGUACUAAUUAUCGUGGAAUUAAGCUGAUGAGCCAUACAAAGAAGCUAUGGGAGAGAGUCAUUGAGCACCGCUUAAGAAGAAUGACAAGCGUGACCAAAAACCAGUUUGGUUUCAUGCCUGGGAGGUCGACCAUGGAAGCCAUUUUUUUGGUACGACAGCUUAUGGAGAGAUAUAGGGAGCAAAAGAAGGACUUGCAUAUGGUGUUCAUUGACUUGGAGAAGGCCUAUGAUAAGAUACCGCGGAAUGUCAUGUGGUGGGCCUUGGAGAAACACAAAGUCCCAGCAAAGUACAUUACCCUCAUCAAGGACAUGUACGAUAAUGUUGUGACAAGUGUUCGAACAAGUGAUGUCGACACUGAUGACUUCUCGAUUAAGAUAGGACUGCAUCAGGGGUCAGCUUUGAGCCCUUAUCUUUUUGCAUUGGUGAUGGAUGAGGUCACAAGGGAUAUACAAGGAGAUAUCCCAUGGUGUAUGCUCUUUGCGGAUGAUGUGGUGCUAGUUGACGAUAGUCGGGCGGGGGUAAAUAGGAAGUUAGAGUUAUGGAGACAAACCUUGGAAUCGAAAGGGUUUAGGCUUAGUAGGACUAAAACCGAGUACAUGAUGUGCGGUUUCAGUACUACUAGGUGUGAGGAGGAGGAGGUUAGCCUUGAUGGUCAGGUGGUACCUCGGAAGGACACCUUUCGGUAUUUGGGGUCAAUGCUGCAGGAGGAUGGGGGUAUUGAUGAAGAUGUGAACCAUCGGAUCAAAGCUGGAUGGAUGAAGUGGCGCCAAGCUUCUGGCAUUCUCUGUGACAAGAGAGUGCCACAAAAGCUAAAAGGCAAGUUCUACAGGACGGCGGUUCGACCCGCAAUGUUGUAUGGCGCUGAGUGUUGGCCGACUAAAAGGCGACAUGUUCAACAGUUAGGUGUGGCGGAGAUGCGUAUGUUGAGAUGGAUGUGUGGCCACACGAGGAAGGAUCGAGUCCGGAAUGAUGAUAUACGAGAUAGAGUUGGGGUAGCACCAAUUGAAGAGAAGCUUGUCCAACAUCGUCUGAGAUGGUUUGGGCAUAUCCAGCGCAGGCCUCCAGAAGCUCCAGUGCAUAGCGGAUGGCUAAAGCGUGCGGAGAAUGUCAAGAGAGGGCGGGGUAGACCGAAUUUGACAUGGGAGGAGUCCGUUAAGAGAGACCUGAAGGAUUGGGGUAUCACCGAAGAGCUAGCUAUGGACAGGGGUGCAUGGAAGCUUGCUAUCCAUGUGCCAGAGCCAUGA